rnacentral:rRNA from 1 species
UACGUAGGGUGCGAGCGUUGUCCGGAAUUAUUGGGCGUAAAGGGCUCGUAGGCGGUUUGUUGCGUCGGGAGUGAAAACUCAGGGCUUAACCCUGAGCCUGCUUCCGAUACGGGCAGACUAGAGGUAUGCAGGGGAGAACGGAAUUCCUGGUGUAGCGGUGAAAUGCGCAGAUAUCAGGAAGAACACCCGUGGCGAAGGCGGCUCUCUGGAACGCAACUGACGCUGAGACGCGAAAGCGUGGGGAGCAAACAGG